UUGGGCGUUUUCAUUGUUGGGUUCACAUUGCGUAUGAUUUAGGUCUAUUGGAGAUGUAUUUGAGGGAGCCUUGCUUUAGAUUAGGUGCUGCUAAUAGAGCCGAGGUUGUUCCAGGAAUUGGGUCCCUCAACAUUUCGGACGGUGUUUCCAAGACAAUUCUGAGCAUUGUGCGGUUUUAAACUUCAGGAGCAUUUACCUGUGGAGUUUUUGCAAGUGAGAGGUAUGAAAGCCUGUUUGCCAACUCUUACUCAGGUGAUGGAAUCGCCUGUGAGUGUUGAUGUCGUUCAGCAAUCCAGCAAUGGUUGAAAAGCUCGAAAGAAACGCAUUGACGAAAUUGAAGAAGAUGUGAAUUUGAUCAGCUACACGAUGCAAGAGGGGUGCCCUGGUGAGUCCAUGAGGGCAAACAUCAGACAUGCCGGGUGAGGAUGGUGCCUCCUCAAUUACGGCUUUCAAGACCGAAUACGAUGUCGAUGACUCAGGAUAGAGAUUUUCAGAUAAGAUUAUUGGAAAUGAUCUUGUUGAUGCAGACAAGCUUGUGUGAGUUGAUGGUUGCCAAUCCCGCAUUUGAGCAGCAGCAAAUCAACUAAAAUCCCCUUGAUAUUGGUUUCUUUUUCGUCACGUGCAAGUUUGACCACUUUGUGCAAGCCUAGUAAAUGCUGCGAAGAUUAGGCCGCCAAUGCGUCUGUCCCGCAGGCGUGAAAUUACGGAAACCGUGGCAUUGGGUGCAUGAAUGCUUUUUUCCUUGUGGUUUCCUGUUUGUCAAAAAGUCUGAAUAUGAUAAUCCUCGUAUCAUGUACUGCCCUGAUCAAGUUUGUUGGCUCGCAUGAUGCUUGGAUUGCUGCUGUUUACAAGGUAGUCUAACAGUUCUGAUUGCAGAGCCUAAAGUUGAUCGUUGCUUAGCCUGAAGUGCUUUCUAUUUGAAAAGCCGUACGAUUGGUUUCCGCAGUAUUGUUCGUUGCGCAAAUAAACUCCAGCAGACGAUCUUGAGAUCAUUUGAGUGAAGGAUAUAAACCUUUCAUUAACAUCAAUGUUACUUGCGUCCACCCUUUUCGUUUCGAACUCUCUUGAUGGCGAGAAAAGUAGAGAAGUGGUACUCGUGAAUAGAGUUAGUCAAUCGCUUAUCACGAACCAGACGACGAUCGGAGUUGAAUUGGGCACUUGUUAAGAGAGCAGUCUGUUGACUGUAGCAAUCGACAUCUUCCAGGUAGUGAAGUUUUAAAUUUCUAAUGUCAAGUCUACACAAAGUAGUAACCCAGGGAAUCUAAGUUCAGGCAAAUGGGAGAUAGCUUUUUACUACCAGCGCGGCCUUGAGCAAUGGAACAUGUUACGGGCAGACAAUUACAAUUACAUGUUGGCUUGCGCUGCGUGUAUUGCUAACAGUUGGCCAAACGCUUAUGCAUGUUCGUGACAUAUGUCCAAAUAGCAAGACUCCAUUCAGAGUUCGAGUCGUAGUAAACCCGGACAUUCAUGUAAAAGCACUACCGACUACAUGACACCCUUUCAGAGCUCAGAUCCGAAAAGAUGAGCGCACAUCUAGUAAUAAAGCUACUAGGUUUGAGCAUGUUGUGUAGUUAAAAGGUUGAGAAGCUUGCUAUGGUCAAGCAGGGUAUGAAAUCUUUCCGACCUGGACACACACGAUACACUACCGUGGUACACUGGUCAAUGGGCUGGAGUCUUACACCUCCAAUCGCGUCUAGAAAGUCAAGCUGCGACCACCAAUUGAAGAGUGUUUCUUCCCUGGAUUGAAAGUUUAUCAGCCUCAUUAAGACUCAACACUGUGUUGCGCGGAUGCUGAAGACAUACCUUAGGAAUAUGCGACUGGCAGCUAUGAGGUAGAAGCAAUCGGAUACGAUCCACACCUAACCUAAGAGCGUAAGAGAAGGAACAUGCUGUGCCAUGAGGAACACUUCACGCAAUUGUUGAGUCGGUUGCUUUUUCAUCACGUUUGUUGCUUGGCGAAUUGGGAUAAUCGCAAUCGUCUUGUGAUAUGCAGAGAGAUGUCGUUGCCGCGUCUUCUUAUUCACAUUUUGUAGAUCUCGAGGGCGUAAUCUGGCUAAUACCGGUCUGCUCUUGUUCAGACUGCUGUGCCUGCGAUGCGAUACCUUCGGUUGAAGAGAUUUUUUUUAGUAUUUGCUUCAAUUGAGCAACAAUAUUGUAUUGCCAGCGAUGUCGUCCCUGACGUGAGUGAUCGAGUCAAUCAGCUGCGUGUAGAGUAGGUAUUCCUGUGGGUUCGACGAUGUGUUGGAAGAAAGAAGAAUAGGGUUUGUUGGAGCGGAAGUUUGUCGACGGAUAGGGUAAAGUGGAUUUGUGGAUACAGGUCUAUGCAGUUGCAGGAAGUAAUUCGAGUGUGGUGAGUAUGGCUGGCCCCGGAAAUGACUUCGAUCACCUGUUCAAGAUCCUCCUGGUCGGGAAUUCAGGUGUUGGAAAGAGCAGUCUCCUUCUCCGGUUCACUGCCAGCAAAUUCGACGACCUGUCGCCAACAAUUGGAGUAGAUUUCAAAGUGAAAAUGGUGAGCUUGCAAGGAAAGCGUCUGAAGCUGACGAUUUGGGAUACUGCAGGGCAAGAGAGGUUUAGGACGUUGACGAGCACUUACUACAGAGGUGCUCAGGGCAUCAUCUUGGUCUACGAUGUUACAAGGCGGGCUACAUUUACAGAUUUGUCAGAUGUGUGGUUGAAGGAGGUGGACCGAUUCUCCACCAACAAGGAUUGCAUCAAGAUGCUAAUCGGCAACAAGGUGGAUCUGGAGGAGAGCGAACGCGUGGUCGCUAAGAAGGAAGGGAUUGCGUUUGCGAGGCAACAUGGGUGCUUGUUUCUGGAAGCAAGUGCCAAGACGAGCAUCAAUGUUCAGCGCUGCUUUGACGAGCUGGUGCACAAGAUUUUGGAUACCCCCAGUUUGACAGCCGACACAGCGCAAUUGGAGACAAAUCUCUUGAGAUCCGAUCAGAUGUGGGAUCAAGGGUAUCUCGCACUAGGCGGCGUAUGCAGCUGUUGAUUCUAAAGCUGAGAGUAUCUCACCUCGAUUGUCGUCUUGAUUCCUUCAAAAUGUGCAAUUGCCUGAUUCUUUUUUGUGUAGGCAUCCGUAACUUCGGUUUCAAUAUAGAUAACCACACGUGUAGCUGCAGCACUCGCGGUUCCUAGCGACUCAGUGGUGAAAUUAAAACAGAGGAUAGCGAAGGGGGAGGCAUUAUUGCUUCUGUCAAUAUAGCACUUUCCUGGAGCAAUGUCAUCUGCAUCUGCGGUCCAAUUCAUCGACGCAUAUCUAUCUUGAUUAAGUGGCCCUUAACACUUGAAAAGCUGAUGGAUCAACUGGAAAAAAUUGUACAGGCAUCGAUCUGAGGGUCUUCUUUUCAACGGAAACUUUUAUACUUUCCAUGAAUAGGCUCUGCUUUUUUAUAUCUCACCUUAGUGGUGAAGUAGGUAUGUUGCAGUCUACAUGCCCUCUAUGAUUUACACUGCUCACCACUGAAUUCGUCGCUCUCGUUACAUAAUUUGCUGUAAUGGACUUCAGUGGUGCUUGCGAGA